AAAUCCCUGCCGCCGGGUAGGGAAGGAGCGCUUUGCCGCGUAUCGUCAGGCCAUAGAAGAUACGCGUCCGGGCGCUUUUUUGUU
rnacentral:ncRNA from 1 species